AGAGUUUGAUCAUGGCUCAGAUUGAACGCUGGCGGCAGGCCUAACACAUGCAAGUCGAACGGUAACAGGAAGCAGCUUGCUGCUUCGCUGACGAGUGGCGGACGGGUGAGUAAUGUCUGGGAAACUGCCUGAUGGAGGGGGAUAACUACUGGAAACGGUAGCUAAUACCGCAUAAUGUCGCAGGACCAAAGAGGGGGACCUUCGGGCCUCUUGCCAUCAGAUGUGCCCAGAUGGGAUUAGCUUGUUGGUGAGGUAACGGCUCACCAAGGCGACGAUCCCUAGCUGGUCUGAGAGGAUGACCAGCCACACUGGAACUGAGACACGGUCCAGACUCCUACGGGAGGCAGCAGUGGGGAAUAUUGCACAAUGGGCGCAAGCCUGAUGCAGCCAUGCCGCGUGUAUGAAGAAGGCCUUCGGGUUGUAAAGUACUUUCAGCGGGGAGGAAGGUGUUGUGGUUAAUAACCACAGCAAUUGACGUUACCCGCAGAAGAAGCACCGGCUAACUCCGUGCCAGCAGCCGCGGUAAUACGGAGGGUGCAAGCGUUAAUCGGAAUUACUGGGCGUAAAGCGCACGCAGGCGGUCUGUCAAGUCGGAUGUGAAAUCCCCGGGCUCAACCUGGGAACUGCAUUCGAAACUGGCAGGCUUGAGUCUUGUAGAGGGGGGUAGAAUUCCAGGUGUAGCGGUGAAAUGCGUAGAGAUCUGGAGGAAUACCGGUGGCGAAGGCGGCCCCCUGGACAAAGACUGACGCUCAGGUGCGAAAGCGUGGGGAGCAAACAGGAUUAGAUACCCUGGUAGUCCACGCCGUAAACGAUGUCUACUUGGAGGUUGUGCCCUUGAGGCGUGGCUUCCGGAGCUAACGCGUUAAGUAGACCGCCUGGGGAGUACGGCCGCAAGGUUAAAACUCAAAUGAAUUGACGGGGGCCCGCACAAGCGGUGGAGCAUGUGGUUUAAUUCGAUGCAACGCGAAGAACCUUACCUGGUCUUGACAUCCACAGAACCCUGUAGAGAUACGGGGGUGCCUUCGGGAGCUGUGAGACAGGUGCUGCAUGGCUGUCGUCAGCUCGUGUUGUGAAAUGUUGGGUUAAGUCCCGCAACGAGCGCAACCCUUAUCCUUUGUUGCCAGCGGUCCGGCCGGGAACUCAAAGGAGACUGCCAGUGAUAAACUGGAGGAAGGUGGGGAUGACGUCAAGUCAUCAUGGCCCUUACGACCAGGGCUACACACGUGCUACAAUGGCGCAUACAAAGAGAAGCGACCUCGCGAGAGCAAGCGGACCUCAUAAAGUGCGUCGUAGUCCGGACUGGAGUCUGCAACUCGACUCCAUGAAGUCGGAAUCGCUAGUAAUCGUGGAUCAGAAUGCCACGGUGAAUACGUUCCCGGGCCUUGUACACACCGCCCGUCACACCAUGGGAGUGGGUUGCAAAAGAAGUAGGUAGCUUAACCUUCGGGAGGGCGCUUACCACUUUGUGAUUCAUGACUGGGGUGAAGUCGUAACAAGGUAACCGUAGGGGAACCUGCGGUUGGAUCACCU
rnacentral:rRNA from 2 species